UGCGUGGAGCCACACCUAAAAGAUGGCGCUGGCUUCCGCCUUCCGCAAUCCCGAAAGCGAGCGCCAGGAUCACGCAAUGAUCGUAAGCUGCUUGCGUAUAAGUGAACCUAUGGACAGUGCCCAUGUGGCAAUCCAGGAUUGGCUGCCCAGGGCUACUUAAGGGCUGGAAGGAGCUUGCCCAGAGAGAGAAACUAUUGUAACAAGGUCCUGAGUAAACUGCUUGCAAGAAGAGCUCCGGUGUUGUGUCUUCCUUGCUGGUUGAGGGGGUCGCGACAAGUAGUGGCCCGUAAGGGGAUUCUCCUCUCCUCUCCCUGGAGCCCAGAACUUGCAGUAGUCAGGGGGUGCACCAGUAAGUCCUCAAGGAUCAUUUGAACCCUAUUUGGGUACUGGAGCGCUUGGUGAGAAAAGUACAAGUGCAGAGGAACGACAAGCAAGAUGAAGGCUCAGACUGUGAUCCUAUUGAUGGUGACGGUCCUGAUGUCCCCGUUGUUGAUCCAGGCCAGUGAACAAAUCUUAUUGGCUGAGAAUUUUACAAAGAACAGUAAACUGAGCCGGCAGCUGAGCACAUACCUCCAGGGAAACUGGAGCAAGGAGUUUGAGAACCUGACGGACACCUUGAUCAACCAGAUUAUUUCCCUGAAUGCCAUGCGGCUGGAAUUACCUACUGCUAAUGCUUUUCUUAAUCUGCUGAAAUGAACUUUUAGUUGUUUUAAGGAGUGGGCGGGAAUAAGAGCCCUGACAGGCCUAAUGGUGCUUGCCUCCCUGGUAUGUCUGUGGUGCAUUUGUCGCAUGAGAGACUCACAACAUCGCAAUGCAGCAAUGAUAAUUCAAGCCUUCAUGGUUAUUGAAGCAGGACAGUCCUCCCAAGUUUGGUUAACUAUUUUAAAAGAUAUAUAAGCACAGGAUGCGAGGCUUGCGCACUGCACUUGAGGGUAAUUACAUCUACCUCAAGAAGAGCAAGUCUGAUUGCAUGUGGGUCGGUGCCUAACUCCCACCUCUGUAAAAAGGGACCAAGCAGGUCUAGUGUUUUCUGGGUGGAGGACACCUGGAUAAACAAUAGUACAUGCUUCAUUUUUAACAGAGAUCAGACCUCUAUUCUUGCCUGUUGCUUUUAAAGCAAAAAAGGGGGAACUGUAGAGAGCUCCGUGGAGCCGCACCUAAAGAUGGUGCUGGCUUCCACCUUCUGCGAUCCCAAAAGCGAGCGCUCUCAGUGGUAAACAGCACCUUAUUUGGCUAAGGCCAGGAUCACGCGAUGAUCGUAAGCUGCUUGCGUAUAAGUGGACCUAUGGACAGUGCCCAUGUGGCGAUCCAGGAU